UCCACGUUACUCCCCUGUCAUCUGUUCCCAUUGGGCGAGGGGGAUUUCCACCCCUGUCUGCCCGCCCCCUAUUUAACCCACUGCCUCCAUUGUUCAGUCGCCAUUUUGUCCUCGCGCGCAACCUGGGAACAGCCAGUCCAGCCACCGCAGUGGCCACGCGGGAAAUAAACGUUCUCAGCCACGCAGGCAAGAGAAGUUUACUGAACAGCUUUGGAGGACUGGAAAAGAUCUCUAAAGAAUUUCCAGUGCUCUAGAAGGCCCAAGGCAGCAUCUCCAGUGCUAGAAGGUGAACAAAGGGAAAAGCUUUUCUGAGGCAAAUCUGAGAGUCAGCUGGAGAAGCUGAGGAAAGGAAUUCCUCUCCUUAAG